GACGAACGCUGGCGGCGUGCUUAACACAUGCAAGUCGAACGGAAAGGCCCUGCUUGCAGGGUACUCGAAUGGCGAACGGGUGAGUAACACGUGGGUGAUCUGCCCUGCACUUCGGGAUAAGCCUGGGAAACUGGGUCUAAUACCGGAUAGGAGCCAUUUUUAGUGUGAUGGUUGGAAAGUUUUUUCGGUGUAGGAUGAGCUCGCGGCCUAUCAGCUUGUUGGUGGGGUAAUGGCCUACCAAGGCGGCGACGGGUAGCCGGCCUGAGAGGGUGGACGGCCACAUUGGGACUGAGAUACGGCCCAGACUCCUACGGGAGGCAGCAGUGGGGAAUAUUGCACAAUGGGCGCAAGCCGGAUGCAGCGACGCCGCGUGGGGGAUGACGGCCUUCGGGUUGUAAACUCCUUUCGCUAGGGACGAAGCUUUUUGUGACGGUACCUAGAUAAGAAGCACCGGCUAACUACGUG
rnacentral:rRNA from 1 species